rnacentral:rRNA from 1 species
AGUGAACGCUGGCGGUAGGCCUAACACAUGCAAGUCGAACGGCAGCACAGUAAGAGCCUGCUCUUACGGGUGGCGAGUGGCGGACGGGUGAGGAAUACAUCGGAAUCUACUUUUUCGUGGGGGAUAACGUAGGGAAACUUACGCUAAUACCGCAUACGACCUACGGGUGAAAGCAGGGGAUCUUCGGACCUUGCGCGAUUGAAUGAGCCGAUGUCGGAUUAGCUAGUUGGCGGGGUAAAGGCCCACCAAGGCGACGAUCCGUAGCUGGUCUGAGAGGAUGAUCAGCCACACUGGAACUGAGACACGGUCCAGACUCCUACGGGAGGCAGCAGUGGGGAAUAUUGGACAAUGGGCGCAAGCCUGAUCCAGCCAUACCGCGUGGGUGAAGAAGGCCUUCGGGUUGUAAAGCCCUUUUGUUGGGAAAGAAAAGCAGCAGGUUAAUACCCCGCUGUUCUGACGGUACCCAAAGAAUAAGCACCGGCUAACUUCG